rnacentral:rRNA from 1 species
AUUGAACGCUGGCGGCAUGCCUUACACAUGCAAGUCGAACGGUAACGCGGGGCAACCUGGCGACGAGUGGCGAACGGGUGAGUAAUGCAUCGGAACGUGCCCAGUAGUGGGGGAUAGCCCGGCGAAAGCCGGAUUAAUACCGCAUACGACCUACGGGUGAAAGCGGGGGACCGUAAGGCCUCGCGCUAUUGGAGCGGCCGAUGUCAGAUUAGGUAGUUGGUGGGGUAAAGGCCUACCAAGCCUACGAUCUGUAGCUGGUCUGAGAGGACGACCAGCCACACUGGGACUGAGACACGGCCCAGACUCCUACGGGAGGCAGCAGUAGGGAAUAUUGGACAAUGGGGGGAACCCUGAUCCAGCCAUGCCGCGUGAGGGAAGAAGGUCCUCUGGAUUGUAAACCUCUUUUGGCAGGAAACAAACCUGCGCUAUACGCGCAGCUGAGGGUACCUGCAGAAUAAGCACCGGCUAACUCCGUGCCAGCAGCCGCGGUAAGGUAGUCGUGU